rnacentral:rRNA from 1 species
UACGUAGGGUGCGAGCGUUAAUCGGAAUUACUGGGCGUAAAGCGUGCGCAGGCGGUUUUGUAAGCCAGAUGUGAAAGCCCCGGGCUUAACCUGGGAAUGGCAUUUGGGACUGCAAGGCUUGAGUGCGGCAGAGGAGACUGGAAUUCCUGGUGUAGCAGUGAAAUGCGCAGAUAUCGGGAAGAACACCCGUGGCGAAGGCGGCUCUCUGGGACGGUACUGACGCUGAGACGCGAAAGCGUGGGGAGCGAACAGG